GUCACCGGUAGAGUCCGCCGAGCCUCCCCCGCCAGCGCCUUGCUCUUUGGCUUCUUCAGGGGUCUGGUUAGCUGUGGUUGCCCGGGCGGCGGCCGCAGGGCGAGGGGCUUGCCUCGCGCUGUGCGGGUCCCUCUUUUAGUAGACGUGGUUCGGCAGGCUCUCCGCUCCUCAGCCUCUGAAGCGGCAGGUCAAGAACCCGAGACUGGCAGGAGGUAGCUCAACUUCUCAAAGCAAGGAGCUCGCUGUGCAGUUCAGGCUGGCCUUGAACUCA